GACCUGAAAGAUGGUGAACUCUGCCUGGGCAGGGCAAAGCUAGAGGAAACUCUGGUGGAGGUCUCUGUUGGUUCUGAUAUGCAAAUUGGCCAUCCACCCCUGGCUAUAGGAGUGAAAGACAAAUCAAACCAUCUAGUAGCUGG
rnacentral:ncRNA from 1 species